rnacentral:rRNA from 1 species
AUUGAACGCUGGCGGCAUGCCUUACACAUGCAAGUCGAACGGCAGCACGGGAGCAAUCCUGGUGGCGAGUGGCGAACGGGUGAGUAAAGUAUCGGAACGUGCCCAGUCGUGGGGGAUAACGUAGCGAAAGUUACGCUAAUACCGCAUACGAUCUAUGGAUGAAAGCGGGGGAUCGCAAGACCUCGCGCGAUUGGAGCGGCCGAUAUCAGAUUAGGUAGUUGGUGGGGUAAAGGCUCACCAAGCCGACGAUCUGUAGCUGGUCUGAGAGGACGACCAGCCACACUGGGACUGAGACACGGCCCAGACUCCUACGGGAGGCAGCAGUGGGGAAUUUUGGACAAUGGGCGAAAGCCUGAUCCAGCCAUGCCGCGUGCAGGAUGAAGGCCUUCGGGUUGUAAACUGCUUUUGUACGGAACGAAAAGGUUUGGCCUAAUAAGCUGAGCUCAUGACGGUACCGUAAGAAUAAGCACUGGCUAACUACGUGCCAGCCGCCGCCUAA